CCUACGGGUGGCAGCAGUCGAGAAUCAUUCACAAUGGGGGAAACCCUGAUGGUGCGACGCCGCGUGGGGGAAUGAAGGUCUUCGGAUUGUAAACCCCUGUCAUGUGGGAGCAAAUUAAAAAGAUAGUACCACAAGAGGAAGAGACGGCUAACUCUGUGCCAGCAGCCGCGGUAAUACAGCGGUCUCAAGCGUUGUUCGGAAUCACUGGGCGUAAAGCGUGCGUAGGCUGUUUCGUAAGUCGUGUGUGAAAGGCGCGGGCUCAACCCGCGGACGGCACAUGAUACUGCGAGACUAGAGUAAGGGAGGGGGAACCGGAAUUCUCGGUGUAGCAGUGAAAUGCGUAGAUAUCGAGAGGAACACUCGUGGCGAAGGCGGGUUCCUGGACAUUAACUGACGCUGAGGCACGAAGGCCAGGGGAGCGAAAGGGAGUAGAUACCCCUGUAGUC
rnacentral:rRNA from 1 species